GGAGCGUCUCUGCCCGGCCGCCCAUCGUCUGAGAUGUGGGGAGCUCCUCUGCCCCGCCGCCCUGUCUGGGAUGUGAGGAGCGCCUCUGCCCGGCCGCGACCCCGUCUGGGAACUGAUGAGUGUCUCUGCCCGAUCGCCACCCCAUCUGGGAGGGGAAAGGCCAUGUAAGGACAGAGCAAACAGGCAACUGUCUGCAAACCAGGAAGAGAGGCCUCACCAGAUAUCAACCUUCAUGGCACCUUGAUCUUGAUCUUUCCAGACUGUGAGAAAAUUAACUUCUGUUGUUGUUUAAGCUGCCCUCCAACUCCGUCUGUAGUAUUUUGUUACGGCAGCCCAAACAGACUAAUACAUCAAGUAACCACACAAAUGCAUGUACAAUUAAAACUGACCUAACUGUUAAGAAGAGGAGAUAGGGCAAGAGUAUAUUUAUCGAGGGUAUUCUAUCUGGUCAGAGAUGAGAGAGAAAGAUUUUUCUGGGUAAAGUUAACAAGGUAUAUAGGGUGGGGUGAAUAUGGAGUGGGGAAUGGUCCCAGAUAGGGCCAAUUGCUUGUGCAAAGGCCCUGGGGUGAGACAGAGCACAGUUUAUUAGAGAAACCAAGUGGCAGCUGUGUGAUUGGGGUGCUAAGAGUGAAGAGGAAGGUGAUACAGGUGAGGGUGGAGAAGAGGGUGAGGCCUAACUUCCCAGGACCAUGCAGGAUUUUCACUGCUAACUUGGGCCACUUGCACACCAGACUGGAGCUGGAAAUGGUGGGUAUGGGAGACAGAGAUCAAAAUAACCUCUAGAUGUCCACUUGCAUAGCUGGUAGGUCACGGGACCAUUCAUGAUAGGGAAGCCCAGGAGAGAACCAGAUUUCAAAGAGAAAGUCAUGAAUUUGCACGUGUCAAGCUUGUUGUGCUUUUGAGUCACUUAGAAAGAGACAUUUGUUUGCGGACCUAUCUACAAGUCUAGACUCAGACAGAGACCUGAGUCAUGUCAUUACACUGACAAGGUGGGAGAGGUGAUUCGGGACAGUCAUUCUCAGACUUUGAGUUUCAAGACCCCUUUACACUCUUAAAAACCAUCAAGGACCUCAAAGAGCUUCUGUUUAUGUGGGUUAUAUCUGUCCAUAUUUACUGUAUUAGAAAUGUAAACUGAAAUAUUAAUAUUAAUUUAUAAUAAACCUGUUUUACCUUAACAUAAAAAAAAGAAAUAAAACAUGCAAAAAUAUUUUACUACAGAUUAA
rnacentral:lncRNA from 10 species